GCUCCGGUGGCUUAGUGGUUAGAGCGUCCGCCUCAGAUACGGAAGGUCGUGGGUUCUAUCCCCGGUCGAAUCA